rnacentral:rRNA from 1 species
UGGGGAAUAUUGCACAAUGGGCGAAAGCCUGAUGCAGCGACGCCGCGUGAGGGAUGACGGCCUUCGGGUUGUAAACCUCUUUCAGCAGGGAAGAAGCGCAAGUGACGGUACCUGCAGAAGAAGCACCGGCUAACUACGUGCCAGCAGCCGCGGUAAUACGUAGGGUGCGAGCGUUGUCCGGAAUUAUUGGGCGUAAAGAGCUUGUAGGUGGUUUGUCGCGUCUGCUGUGAAAAUCCGAGGCUCAACCUCGGACUUGCAGUGGGUACGGGCAGACUAGAGUGUGGUAGGGGAGACUGGAAUUCCUGGUGUAGCGGUGGAAUGCGCAGAUAUCAGGAGGAACACCGAUGGCGAAGGCAGGUCUCUGGGCCAUUACUGACACUGAGAAGCGAAAGCAUGGGGAGCGAACA